rnacentral:rRNA from 1 species
GACGAACGCUGGCGGCAUGCCUAAUACAUGCAAGUCGAGCGAACAGACGAAGUGCUUGCACUUCUGACGUUAGCGGCGAACGGGUGAGUAACACGUAAGGAAUCUACCUAUAAGCGGGGGAUAACAUUCGGAAACGGGUGCUAAUACCGCAUAAUAUCUUCUUCCGCAUGGAAGAAGAUUGAAAGACGGCUCUGCUGUCACUUAUAGAUGACCUUGCGGUGCAUUAGUUAGUUGGUGGGGUAAUGGCCUACCAAGACGAUGAUGCAUAGCCGACCUGAGAGGGUGAUCGGCCACAUUGGGACUGAGACACGGCCCAAACUCCUACGGGAGGCAGCAGUAGGGAAUCUUCCGCAAUGGGCGAAAGCCUGACGGAGCAAUGCCGCGUGAGUGAAGAAGGCCUUCGGGUCGUAAAACUCUGUUAUAAGAGAAGAACAAAUUGUAGAGUAACUGCUACAGUCUUGACGGUACCUUAUCAGAAAGCCACGGCUAACUACGUGCCAGCCGCCGCAGUAA